GUGGAUUAGAUACCCGGGUAGUCCACGCUGUAAACGAUGAGUACUAGGUGUUGCGGGUAUUGACCCCUGCAGUGCCGCAGCUAACGCAUUAAGUACUCCGCCUGGGAAGUACGGUCGCAAGACUAAAACUCAAAGGAAUUGACGGGGGCCCGCACAAGCGGUGGAGCAUGUGGUUUAAUUCGACGCAACGCGAAGAACCUUACCUGGGCUUGACAUCUGCGGAACCUGGUGGAAACACCGGGGUGC
rnacentral:rRNA from 1 species